UGAGGAAUAUUGGUCAAUGGACGAGAGUCUGAACCAGCCAAGUAGCGUGAAGGAUGACUGCCCUAUGGGUUGUAAAACUUCUUUUAUAUGGGAAUAAAAUGUUCCACGUGUGGGAUUUUGUAUGUACCAUAUG
rnacentral:rRNA from 1 species